rnacentral:rRNA from 1 species
UACGUAGGCAGCAAGCGUUGUUCGGAGUUACUGGGCGUAAAGGGUGUGUAGGCGGUUCUUUAAGUUUGGUGUGAAAUCUCCCGGCUCAACUGGGAGGGUGCGCCGGAAACUGGAGGGCUUGAGUAUGGGAGAGGAAAGCGGAAUUCCUGGUGUAGCGGUGAAAUGCGUAGAUAUCAGGAGGAACACCUGCGGUGUAGACAGCUUUCUGGACCAUCACUGACGCUGAGACACGAAAGCGUGGGUAGCAAACAG